rfam:Felis catus isolate Cinnamon breed Abyssinian chromosome B2, whole genome shotgun sequence.
ACAAAGGCUCUUUUCAGAGCCACUUAAGCCAUCAAAGAGAAAGCUGG